UGGUCAACAAAUAAAAUCCUGGUGAAAGCUCUGUAAUAAAUAAUCGCCUGCUGCCGCGACGCACGGUCUUCCCACCACAACUCCUCUCGCCGCGACGGAAGAGCUUCUCGCAACAAAUGCUCAUGAAACCGUCCAAUGUAUCCUGGCAUUCAUCGAGUAGAACUAUUGUGUUCAAUUCAACCGCCCGCAUGUUAAAAGCCCAUCAAGCGCGGCCGCAUGAUCGCCUUCUCUAACUUUCAGUUCACAAUUUGCAUCUCCCUUUUAUUUUGAAAUCCCCUAACAUAUGUCUCUCAAUUUGACAGGAUGCGCUCCCGCCUGGAUCGAAAUCUGAUCAACAAUAUGCCUGAUUGGAUUGUGCUGAUAGCUCAAGCUUCUACGAUUUGAUUGUAUUAUUCAAGGCCGCGUCCCUCCUCCAAUCGGAAUCUGAAUUAUGAACAGCCCGCGCGUGCUGGGCAGGACGGACCUGGUGCCUCCGCAGUCACCUGGUCACACUAUAAUCCCUUGCUCUAUAAGGUUAGCCCAGAACUUAAGAUUUCCCAAUCCUAAUCCAUCUCUAUUGUUUAACCACCACAAUAUUCUAUGGCUGGCCUGUCAUUAUUUUUCCAUGUCUCUCGUGGGUAUUUUCAUGUACCUUUGCACUUCCUAUUGAUGGAAACUCGAAGUUAGAUAUAAAAAAUAAUUAUAAGAUCUGGCAAACUGUAGAUGCAUGAAAAAAAAAUCUAAUGCUCGGGUGAGUUCCAGAAAAUUGUCUCCUCUUAUUUCAGCAAUGGAGCUUUGCACCAGCAAAAAGUAGUACCUUCUUUUUGCAUAUUUACUGCAAUUCAUGUCCACGGUCCAAUUUUAGUCUUUCUGCAUUUGAAAUAAGAUGUAUAGAAAUCUUAAAACACAUUCGGAAUGCAUGUUCUUUUUGGUUUUUCGCAAAAAAAAAAUGCUCAUCUUGGUUGCAGGUUAUCCAAAAGAUUGCAGGUUUAAAUCAUGUUCAAGGUUGCAUGGUAUCCAAAAGACAUGGCACUACACCAUAGGAUCUGAUACAUUUGUACAGGCUUGCAUCCGUACCAUAUUUUAUAUUCUUAUACAUGGUCUAUCCUUCCUGAUUUUUCUCUGCGGCAAGAAAAAGGUAAUAUACACUGGCAAUAAAUCAUCUAGCAUCACCGAUUAUCUAAUGUUAGACUGUAUUCUAUGUGCCUUUUCAACAAAAUCUUGGCAUUGCUGAUUCUCAAGAACCAUGCAAGGUAAUUCUAACCUCAAGACGGAAUUGUAUUCUCUAUUUCAGCAGUUAAUGUUUCACUUGGUGUGAAUCAAGGUAUUUACAUUUCAAUUGAUUAUAUUUUUCAUGAUCAUGCAAUCUCCAUCCAAAAAAGUACUACAUCAAGUCUAAUAUCUAAAUCCACCAAUGAUAUGCGUGGGAAAGUUAAGUCUCUUUAUGGAAUUCUGGAGAUGCUAAAGAAGUGACAUUGGAUAAAUAAUAUUCAGCUCCAAUGAAAAGAUCAAAUGGACAAUGCAGGGUACAAAAGAAUAUUUGAAUGUUUCAUAUUAUUCCUGUCUGGCUUAUUCUUUUGUUUGUAUAUGAAGUAUUGCAGGGCUUGAUUUUCUUUUCUGAAAAAUUUACAUUCUACGCUCUAACUCCAAACUUGAUCUUGAGUGCAGAAGUAACAUUGGAUAAAUAAUAUUCAGCUCCAAUGAAAAGAUCAAAUGGACAAUGCAGGGUAAAAAAGAAUAUUUGAAUGUAUCAUAUUAUUCCUGUCUGGCUUAUUCUUUUGUUUGUAUAUGAAGUAUUGCAAGGCUUGAUUUUCUUUUCUGAAAAAUUUACAUUGUACAUAAAACUUUUAUAUAAAUUCUUCUUAAACUACUAAUAAUUUCUGAUUGAUCUCUGUAAUCUACCUUCUGCACAUGUAAAAGUUUCUCUCGCCACCAAUUUUGCAAUUGGGUAACAAUGUGUCAUUCAUCUGAUUUUCGAACAGAUUUUGUAACAAUUUAUCAUCCAAACAUGAUAUUUUGCAUAUCGUGCCAUUUCUCGAGCUGAUAUAUCAUGUUUGUGGUUUCCUCAUGGUGUUACCGGAAAAUCCAGUAGUUUGUCAAACUUCCAUAAACAAAUUCAUGAGGGUGAUACAUAUCCAGUGUAGUUCGACCUCACAAGUGCUCCUGUGUAAGUUGUUCAUAGUAAUAUAAUCGAAAGAAUAUUUUACUAUCAGUAGAAAUGUUAAUAUAAGCUAAGUUCAAUAGCUUUCACAAUGUAAGAUACAACCUACUACCUCCAUACCGGAUUAAUGGGCAAUUACGCACUUCGAGAAACAAGUUUGACUACUAAUUUGGUCAAUAAAAUAUAAGA